CCGAGUCUACAACUCCCAAACCCCUGUGAACACUACCACUUGUUGCCUCGGCGGAUCAGCCCGCUCCCGGUAAAACGGGACGGCCCGCCAGAGGACCCCUAAACUCUGUUUCUAUAUGUAACUUCUGAGUAAAACCAUAAAUAAAUCA
rnacentral:misc_RNA from 1 species